UACGUAGGGGGCUAGCGUUGUCCGGAAUCAUUGGGCGUAAAGAGCGUGUAGGCGGCCCGGUCAGUCCGCUGUAAAAGUCAAAGGCUCAACCUUUGAAUGUCAGUGGAUACUGUCGGGCUAGAGUCCGGAAGAGGCGAGUGGAAUUCCUGGUGUAGCGGUGAAAUGCGCAGAUAUCAGGAGGAACACCGAUGGCGAAGGCAGCUCGCUGGGACGGUACUGACGCUGAGGAGCGAAAGCAUGGGGAGCGAACAGG
rnacentral:rRNA from 1 species